rnacentral:rRNA from 1 species
UACGAAGGGGGCUAGCGUUGUUCGGAAUUACUGGGCGUAAAGCGCACGUAGGCGGCUUUUUAAGUCAGGGGUGAAAUCCCGGGGCUCAACCCCGGAACUGCCCUUGAAACUGGAGAGCUAGAAUCUUGGAGAGGUGAGUGGAAUUCCCAGUGUAGCGGUGAAAUGCGUAGAUAUUGGGAGGAACACCAGUGGCGAAGGCGGCUCACUGGACCGGUACUGACGCUGAGGCGCGAAAGCGUGGGGAGCAAACGGG